rnacentral:rRNA from 1 species
AUGGCGGUACAGGCUACAUGUCCGCUAUGCGGCUGCAUUGAUUCAUGGAGACAUGCACUGGUGUCGUGCACGAUGUCACGCUGCGUGUGGGCUCUAUCAGAUGAGGCACUUGUUUCCCAAAUGUGUGAGAACUUGGAAGCUAACACACGGAUUUGGUUAUUCCAGUUGAAUGAAUCCCUGGACCACGCAAGCUUCACGCAGCUGGUAAUUACACUAUGGUCUAUAUGGUUUGCAAGGAAGGAGCAUCAAAUAACACAAAGAGCAGCACCUACACAGCAGAAAAGGUGGCUUCCACCUCCGAAUGGCAAGGCAAAGAUUAAUGUGAACGGAGCAGUGGCCAGGUCUCGGCGUGGAGGGGCUGCUGCAGUGAUAUGCCGGGACCAGGACGGCCUAUAUCUGGAUUCAUCGACGGUUGUUUUUCAGGGAAUCACGGAUCCGGUGAUGCUCGAGACUUAUGCUUGUAGGAAAGCGUUGGCAUUGGCAGGAGAUCUUGCGACAACCAACAUAUGUAUGGCCUCGGAUUGUCAAGAAGUGGUCAAUGACAUUAACAGAGGGACAGGAGGUCCCAACGCUGCCCUUAUACAUGAAAUAAUGCUUCGGUGUAAUAGUUUUAAUUCAUACUCGUUUAUUCAUGAACUUAGAAACCACAAUUAUAAGACUCAUAAUCUCGUCAACUUUGCUUGUACUCUAGGACUAGGUAGACAUGUUUGGUUGGGCAACCCUCAUAACCCAAAUCUUAUACCUAUGUCGCUUGUUCUUGAAUGA